AGAGUUUGAUCCUGGCUCAGGAUGAACGCUAGCGACAGGCUUAACACAUGCAAGUCGAGGGGCAGCGGGGUAGUGCUUGCACUACUGCCGGCGACCGGCGCACGGGUGAGUAACACGUAUGGAACCUGCCCGCAGCAGGGGGAUAAGCGGAAGAAAUUCCGUCUAAUACCGCGUAAGAACGUUGGGAGGCAUCUCCCGAUGUUUAAAGAUUUAUCGGCUGCGGAUGGCCAUGCGGCGCAUUAGCUAGUCGGCGGGGUAACGGCCCACCGAGGCGACGAUGCGUAGGGGUUCUGAGAGGAAGGUCCCCCACACUGGUACUGAGACACGGACCAGACUCCUACGGGAGGCAGCAGUGAGGAAUAUUGGUCAAUGGCCGAGAGGCUGAACCAGCCAAGUCGCGUGAGGGAAGACGGCCCUACGGGUUGUAAACCUCUUUUGUCGGGGAGCAAAGCGAACCACGUGUGGUUCAUUGAGAGUACCCGAAGAAAAAGCAUCGGCUAACUCCGUGCCAGCAGCCGCGGUAAUACGGAGGAUGCGAGCGUUAUCCGGAUUUAUUGGGUUUAAAGGGUGCGCAGGCGGAGGUGCAAGUCAGCGGUCAAAUUGCGGGGCUCAACCCCGUACUGCCGUUGAAACUGCAUCCCUUGAGUGCGCGAGAAGUAUGCGGAAUGCGUGGUGUAGCGGUGAAAUGCAUAGAUAUCACGCAGAACUCCGAUUGCGAAGGCAGCAUACCGGCGCGCAACUGACGCUCAUGCACGAAAGCGUGGGUAUCGAACAGGAUUAGAUACCCUGGUAGUCCACGCAGUAAACGAUGAACACUAACUGUUCGGCCAGAAUGAUGGCUGAGUGGUACAGCGAAAGCGUUAAGUGUUCCACCUGGGGAGUACGCCGGCAACGGUGAAACUCAAAGGAAUUGACGGGGGCCCGCACAAGCGGAGGAACAUGUGGUUUAAUUCGAUGAUACGCGAGGAACCUUACCCGGGCUCAAACGACACAGGAAUACUUUUGAAAGGAGGUAGCCCUACGGGGUCUGUGUCGAGGUGCUGCAUGGUUGUCGUCAGCUCGUGCCGUGAGGUGUCGGCUUAAGUGCCAUAACGAGCGCAACCCCUAUCGCCAGUUACCAUCAAGUAAAGUUGGGGACUCUGGCGAGACUGCCGGCGCAAGCUGAGAGGAAGGCGGGGAUGACGUCAAAUCAGCACGGCCCUUACGUCCGGGGCGACACACGUGUUACAAUGGCAGGUACAGAGAGAAGCCAGGUGGUGACACCGAGCGGAACUCGAAAGCCUGUCUCAGUUCGGAUCGGAGUCUGCAACCCGACUCCGUGAAGCUGGAUUCGCUAGUAAUCGCGCAUCAGCCAUGGCGCGGUGAAUACGUUCCCGGGCCUUGUACACACCGCCCGUCA
rnacentral:rRNA from 1 species